UCUGGCGUAGCUCAAUGGUGGAGCAUCCGGCUGUUAACCGGAGGGUUGCUAGUUCGAGUCUAGCCGCCAGAGCCA
rnacentral:tRNA from 1 species